AUGGACAAGCACAAGUGGUUCUGAAGCAGCAAGUAUCUAUUACCAGAGGGGAAACAAAAACUGCAUAUCUGGAGUGUACAGUCGAGGGGCUAUCGGACUUCCAGUCUGCGUAUAUACACUGGUACCGACACAUACCCUCCAGAGCCCCUGAAUGGAUUCUGUUCAUCAGCACAGGACAGCCUUCUUAUUCUGAAAGUUCCUACAGAGCCAAGUAUCACUCUUCGAAGAAAGAUCCAAACAUCUGCACUUUCUCAGUCAAAAACAUCGACUCCAAUGAUGAAGGUACCUACUACUGUGCUACGUGGCAGUCCCACGGCACUAAGAGAGCACUGCCAGCCUGUACAGGAAGCUGCCUGUUCUCCUAG